rnacentral:rRNA from 1 species
GGGCCUUGCGCGAUAGGAUCAGCCGAUGUCUGAUUAGCUAGUUGGUGGGGUAAAGGCCUACCAAGGCGACGAUCNAGUAGCUGGUCUGAGAGGAUGAUCAGCCACACUGGGACUGAGACACGGUCCAGACUCCUACGGGAGGCAGCAGUNGGGGAAUAUUGGACAAUGGGGGCAAGCCUGAUCCAGCAAUGCCGCGUGUGUGAAGAAGGCCUUCGGGUUGUAAANGCCCUUUUGUCGGGAAAGAAAUCCCGUGGGCUAAUACCCGGUGUGGAUGACGGUACCCGAAGAAUAAGCACCGGCNUAACUUCGUGCCAGCAGCCGCGGUAAUACGUAGGGUGGGGGCGUUAAUCGGCGGGACACUGCGUCGUGAGGGCGCGUAGGGGGUUGGUAAGACCGGCGUGAAAUCCCCGGGCUCAACCUGGGAAUGGCGCUUGAGACUGUCAGGCUAGAAUGUGGCAGAGGGGAGUAGAAUUCCAGGUGUAGCAGUNGAAAUGCGUAGAGGAGAGGAGGAAUAUCCAUGGCGAAGGCAGCUCCCUGGAACAUGAUUGACGCUCAUGCACGANAAGCGUGGGGAGCAAACAGGAUUAGAUACCCUGGUAG